rnacentral:lncRNA from 1 species
CUAUGGCAGGUGACUCCCGCCUGAAACGUCAGCGACCUUGAAACAUCCGAGCCUCUCCCAGAACGACGAUGUGAAGAGCCAUUCUGCUCCAUCAGGCAUCCCAACCGAGCUUCAACCGACGGAUCCAAACUCUCUGACAAGCCACGACAAGAGCCAUCACCCUGCUCCACUCUCUGCAAUGGAUUCCAUGCAGCUCCACCACUCUCUGGCAAGUCACGACAACGGACACCAUUCCACUCUCCACAGCAAGCUCCACG